rnacentral:rRNA from 1 species
GAUGAACGCUGGCGGCGUGCUUAACACAUGCAAGUCGAACGAUGAAGACCGUGCUUGCACGGUUGGAUUAGUGGCGAACGGGUGAGUAUCACGUGAGUAACCUUCCCUUAACUCUGGGAUAAGCCCGGGAAACUGGGUCUAAUACCGGAUACGACCAGUCCUCGCAUGGGGUGCUGGUGGAAAGAUUUAUCGGUUUUGGAUGGACUCGCGGCCUAUCAGCUUGUUGGUGAGGUAAUGGCUCACCAAGGCGAUGACGGGUAGCCGGCCUGAGAGGGUGACCGGCCACACUGGGACUGAGACACGGCCCAGACUCCUACGGGAGGCAGCAGUGGGGAAUAUUGCACAAUGGGCGAAAGCCUGAUGCAGCGACGCCGCGUGCGGGAUGACGGCCUUCGGGUUGUAAACCGCUUUCAGCAGGGAAGAAGCGAAAGUGACGGUACCUGCAGAAGAAGCGCCGGCUAACUACGUGCCAGCAGCCGCAGUAACAC